AUUGAACGCUGGCGGCAGGCCUAACACAUGCAAGUCGAACGAGUGGCGGACGGGUGAGUAAUGUCUGGGAAACUGCCUGAUGGAGGGGGAUCACUACUGGAAACGGUAGCUUAUACCGCAUACCAUACGAUUUGCCCAGAUGGGAUUAGCUUGUUGGUGGGGUAACGGCUCACCAAGGCGACGAUCCCUAGCUGGUCUGAGAGGAUGACCAGCCACACUGGAACUGAGACACGGUCAAGACUCCUACGGGAGGCAGCAGUGGGGAAUAUUGCACAAGGGGCGCAAGCCUGCUGCAGCACUGCCGCGUGUAUGAAGAAGGCCUUCGGGUUGUAAAGUACUUUCAGCGGGGAGGCGUUACCCGAAGAAGAAGCAACGGCUAACUCCGUGCCAGCAGCCGCGGUAAUUC
rnacentral:rRNA from 1 species